CUGGGUCAUACUAGGACAAGGAAAGACGUUACAUUAAUUCUGUCUGCUUCUACUCAAAACUGUUUCUUUCCUGCAAGUUUCUCUCUCAUUCUUUUUCUUUUCCUCUCAGUUCUCCCUUUUAAAUGCUUCUCCCCUCCAUCUGGUGUUUUCCUGAUCUUUGUUGUCCCCUGUGGCAUCUGCCAUCUCCACCCUAUUCCCAUCCUCCUCCUCAGCUCCUCCUCCUUUCUUGUUCUGUUCAGAAAUAAUGAUAAUGAUACAACAAUAAUAAGCAGUUGCCUGCUGAGGGUACUGCAGGAACACAGAGUACUUCCGUUCGUGAUCACUGGUGGCUUCCCAAGUGCUGCCAGCCUGGUGGCUGAAUUUUUGAGUCACAGCAAGGCAGGAAAAAAAAUCAUUCAAGAGGCAAAUUUCAAAGCACAGAGUUAAUAAUGUCAUCUAUUUAAACAACAAUUCAUGACCGGCCACGACUUUGAAGUAUCAAUGGCAGGAUGGAAAGAACUUGCCACGGGGCAUGAGUGGGACUGAGCCGUGCAAGGCGCAGACUGUAGUAGAUGCUGACAGUGCUCCACUCAUACACUCACUCUUAACCAUUGUGGUGUGCAAAGCUGACUUCCACCUGUGCGAUGGCACUCUCUGGGGGCCAGAGCGUCUGCCCAUCCACAUGGCAGGUCAGAAGUGGCUAAGAACGAAUGUCCGCCAGAUGCAGCAUUCAACCAAUGACUGACAAGAAUGGGGGAUAAAUAGCACAGCUCCUUUCCAUGUCAGGGGAAUAACUCGGAGGCAAAUGUUCUGCAGUGGCCCAGGGUUUCUCCGUGGGUUCUAGUUAUGCGCGGGAACUUGUUCGAUCACCAUCCCUCUAUUGGCUGUCACCUCUCCUCUGCUUCACCUUCCUGUCCCCUCAGCAGAGUAUCCUAGGAUUAUCCCCAAAUAAAUGACUUGCACUUCUUUGUCUCAUAGUUUACUUCUAGGAGAAAUCAAACUAACAAAGAUUCCGAGGACAUGGUUGACAGGAUUCCACAUGUGACACUCAAACAGGGACCGAGUAAACUAUUAUGGCGUGGACAAGAUCACCUUUGGGGGGCGGUCAUUGGGUUGUAUGCCAAAUGCAAACAGAAUGCAGGCCUCUCUCUGGUCCCACUGUAAAAAGCAAGAGAUCACAACCUUGCUGUGGGCUAUGGAAGACUAAGGGAGGCUGAGCUAUCAGUGAGCAGAGACUCAGUUCUAAUACAUGACCUGCCAUAUUGAAUGAUCUCUGUCCAGUGCUCUCAUCUGGUACUUCCCAGGAAUCAAGCCCUUUCCUUUCUUGGACAAACUUCUCUCAAUCACCUCUCAUCUUACCAAACACUCUUCUGUGACUCUUCCUCACUUCGGCUCCCUUACUCCACAUCACACACUCCCACUCCCCAGCCCAUCCUACUCUUGCCUGGUUUCCUUCCGUGGCACUCCACGCCUCCCUAAAAAUUACCCUUCUCUUACUCUUUUAUAAUAAUUGCUGAAGUCCCAUUAAAUCCACAAUCUAUAACUUUAGCAACUUAUUUAAAUAACUUUCCUUUUCUUGAGUGCAAGGAAAAUUUCAUUCUCAACCCCUUCCAGGAGAUAAGAAGAAAUGUUUGUGCACCAUCUUUCACUAGCAGCAAAGCAAAGAAAAAAAAUAGAGACACUCUAAAUGGUCACAUUUUGUUACAUAUGUGAAAACAAAACACACAAAAACAUAAAUAGGUUUAAUUUCUUGUUGGCAAAAUUGUGGGGGUGUUGAUUGUCUUUAUUCUUUUCUAUGCUCUCCUAAACUUCUAAAAGAUACCACACCUACUAACUUAAGAAAAUGCAACCAUGUACUUUAUUUUAGAAUCCAUAGAUUAUAAAGGAGUCCAAGGACUCUAAAUCUAUGUUUUUUCUAAUGUUUGCCUAUAUACAAGAGCAAAGAACUAACAGGCCUUACUAACUUAAUUAUUGAUUUAUUUUCCAAUGAUAGUCUUUCAGAUUUAAAACAUGUCAUGUCACACAAGUAAAAAUGAAUCAAACUCUGUGAAUUAGAAUACUACUUACUUAUUAACAACCAAUAAUAAAACUCUGAAUCAUUUCUUUCAUCUGUAUAUACCUACAAACAGACCUGUCUAAUGUAAUGAAUACUGAAUGUAUUCAUAAUAAAAGAAAUUACUAACCUGGCAGCCAUAACAACAAUUCCAGCAUCAGUUAAGUUCAAAACUAAACUAUACGACAGCUGAUUCUGUCCAACAAUGAAAGAUC
rnacentral:lncRNA from 1 species